rnacentral:rRNA from 1 species
UACGUAGGUGGCAAGCGUUUAUCCGGAAUUAUUGGGCGUAAAGCGCGCGCAGGCGGUUUCUUAAGUCUGAUGUGAAAGCCCACGGCUCAACCGUGGAGGGUCAUUGGAAACUGGGGAACUUGAGUGCAGAAGAGAAAAGCGGAAUUCCACGUGUAGCGGUGAAAUGCGUAGAUAUCUGGAGGAACACCGGUGGCGAAGGCGGCAUCCUGGACCAAUUCUGACGCUGAGGUGCGAAAGCGUGGGGAGCAAACAGGA